GACCCGCACGGAGCCGGUGGGUGCGGGUCUGGCCCGCUCUCUCCCGGGAUGCGCGGAGCGCUGGGACCCGCACGGAGCCGGAAUGGAGAAGUGUGUCCAGAGGGCCACCACACCUCGGUUGGGAUCCAAGAGGUGGGAGAGCAGCAGCCAAGAUGUUUUUCUAUUCCUGUUCCAG